CCAACCACAGAGGGAGGGGGUCCUGGCCUGUAUCUACACAUCUGCCCUUCUCUCUCAUGGCUUGAACAAAGACACCAACUGGCGGGGCCCUUAUAGUCAACACCUAAAGGACAUGAAAAGCUAGAUAUGGGACACUUCCAGCUACCUCAUUAGCACCGCACUACAGUGGACAGUGCACAGUGGACAUGGCAAGUAGACAGUUGGAUAUUUGGAAAGGAUACCUGAAAAAAGCAGCAUCACGUGGACAACUUGUUACAUCAGAGGAUGAGAAGACGCCUCAACAGCUGGCUGAGGUCUAUUCCUCAGCUUCCCCUUGGAAAUCUUCUCCUAGUCACACACUAUUCAGAAAGGUGUGCCUCACAUGACCUCAUAUUAAUUACCUGCAAAAGUCAGACGAGAAAAACCUCCUCCUCCUGUUUUUUACCAUGAUGAGGCAGCUCGGUUUCAAGUGUGCUGAAUGAUGAUGUAUGAAUGGAAUUUAUUACUCAACCUGCACUAUGUAUCAUUUUAUGUACUGCCUUUAGCUAGCCCGAGAAUGUCUUACAGGGUUGCUUCCCAAAUGGUGGUCUGUGGAAUACGUGGUCUCUGGAGCAGUUAUUGGCAGUCCACAAUGAGCUGUUUGGUCACAAUAGGCCUGUUUUUAAAAAGGGUUCUUCAUUGGCUAAAGAUGCAGAUAGCUGCCCAGUGAGGUUGGCAAAUACAUGUUAACACCUACCUCUCAUUAUAAAUCAACGCGUUCCAUUAUUACUUGUGGGAGAAGAAGCAUCUGCACAAUUGUGAACAAGAAGGCCCAUGAGAUGGACCCUAUUAUGAUGAAGCUCCAUUGUGUGAAACCAUUUGGGAAUCCCUGCGUUAUUGAACUAACACCCCUGCAUCUAUCAGGAUUAAUGCACCUUAUCGAUCUGACAAGUACCUUGGAUGCAAGAAGCAACUACCAAUAUGACAGAACAAGCUACACUAAUUCUGGAACAGGAUAUGAACGUUGCCGUCUCCAGUUUCUGAAGCAAGAGGGGAAUUUGGGAGACAGGAGUCAGAACAUAGUUAAUCCAAAUAGAAUUGGCUCAAGACUCUUACAAAAGUAGUUACAGAAGGAGUAAAGGCUCAGUUUUCCAUCCCACAGGAUGACAUAGCCAGCAUCACAUUGCCCUGCAGCUCCAUACAGGGACAUUAUUACUCUACACUGACUCAAAUGCACAUGUGCUAUCUAUUGCAAUACUUCUUGCUGCACCUGUUUUUUUUCCAUAUAUCUCAUCCAACAACUCUACUGACCCAGUCUCAGCUUGCUUAUAUAAAGAUACCUGAUGAAAUCACAACAGGCUUGUCAAUACCACAUGCUAUAUUAGUAUCUACUAUCAGAAACAGAUGCAUUAAAAUAAAUAAUACCAAUAUAUCUUGACUAUAUUAAUAGAGUGAGGCCCUAAAAUUGUAGAUUAUGACAGCUGUUAGGGGCUAAUCUUAUUUGCAAUUUAAAUAAUUCAGAGAAAAGAUUGGAAGGGAAACAGAGGCACAUAAAGAUGAAAUUAGUUGCCCAAAGUUACACAAGUCUGUAGCAGGACUCCCGACUUGCAGUCUAGUGCCCUGCC